rnacentral:tRNA from 1 species
GGGCAAGGAGGAGUGGGACGGGUUCUGAUCGACUUACAAAGCAGAUGUCGGCGGUUCGAAACCGUCCGCGCCCAC